ensembl:lncRNA
UUAUAACUGGACAGGAUACCGCUGCUAUUGACUCCCUUUCCAUUGACCCAAGGUUAUUUGCCUUGCUACUAAUUGUAAGCUCAUCCAACCAAGCUUCAGGCCAGGACGGUAUGGAGGCUGAGAAGACUUGAAAAUGGAAGGGCUGGGGUAGCAUCACGUGCAACGAGCAGACUGAGACAUCUUUGGUUGUCACAGCUGUAGCUAAUGGAGUCAGCUGCUACUCAAAGCACGAUUAUGAAGUCUCUGAGCCUGGACCAGAGGCAGGGAGGCUCCUGUUCUGGGCAGCGUGGCACUGGGGAGACAGAAGAGCUGUCUCUGGCUUUAACAGAGCGUUGGGGUUGACUCUUCUCCGUUCUGCUCACCCCUCACCCCUAGGAGUCUGAGAGCGAGGUGUGGGAAGGUUGGCCUCUUCUUAGGUCUGCCUCCUGGGCUCUUCGAUGCCCCAUGUCCUCACAUGGUCGCCCCUUGGCCUGUGUGUGUCCCUGGCCUUGCCCCCUUUUUAUGAGGGGGGGUUAGUGCUUGCAUUGUACCUUAAUUACCUUUUAAAAGGCUCUGUCUCCAUAAGUUUGUUUUCUUAGAGUCUGUGAGUCUGCUUCUAAUUUUUGUCAAUAAGUUCAUUUGUCUUAUUUUUUAAAAUUCCACAUAUAAGCGGAAUCAUAUGAUAUUUGUCUUUCCUUGUCUGACUUACUAUGGUGCGGGGAGGGAUAAAUUAGGAGUUUGGGGUUAAUAUAUACACACUACUGUAUGUAAACUAAACAACAGGGCAUCCUGGAUAGCACAGGGAACUCUACUCAAUAUUCGGUAAUAAGCCACAUGGAAAAAGGAUCUGAAAAAGAAUGGAUAAA